rnacentral:rRNA from 1 species
ACGUAGGUGGCAAGCGUUAUCCGGAUUUAUUGGGUUUAAAGGGUGCGUAGGCGGCUUGAUAAGUCAGUGGUUAAAGGUAGCAGCUUAACUGUUUUACAUGCCACUGAUACUGCCAAGCUUGAGUUGACAGAAGGCAGAUAGAAUUUCUGGUGUAGCGGUGAAAUGCUUAGAUACCAGAAGGAAUACCGAUUGCGAAGGCAGUCUGCUGCAGUCACACUGACGCUGAGGCACGAAAGUGCGGGGAUCAAACAGGAUUAGAUACCCUGGUAGUCCGCACAGUAAACGAUGAUUACUAGAUGUUGGCCAUGCCAGUGUCCAGGGGAAACCGAUAAGUAAUCCACCCUGGGGAGUACGCCGGCAACCGGUGAAACUCAAAGGAAUUGACGGGGGUCCGCCACCAAGCCGGUGGAGCAUGUGGUUUAAUUCGAUGAUACGCGAGGAACCUUACCUGGACUAGAAUGUGCGAGAAGGGCUCAGAAAUGGGUCUGCCAGCAAUGGCUCAAAACAAGGUGCUGCAUGGCUGUCGUCAGUUUCGUGCCGUGAGGUGUUGGGUUAAGUCCCGCAACGAACGCAACCCCUGUUGUCUGUUGCCAGCGAGUAAUGUCGGGGACUCAGACAAGACUGCCUACGCAAGUAGAGAGGAAGGAGGGGACGACGUCAAGUCAUCAUGGCCCUUACGUCCAGGGCAACACACGUGCUACAAUGGUCGUUACAGAGUGUUGCAAGCCAGCGAUGGCAAGCCAAUCACAAAAAGACGAUCACAGUUCGGAUCGGAGUCUGCAACUCGACUCCGUGAAGCUGGAAUCGUCUAGUAAUCGGAUAUCAGCUAUGAUCCGGUGAAUACGUUCCC